AACGAACGCUGGCGGCAUGCCUAACACAUGCAAGUCGAACGAGACCUUCGGGUCUAGUGGCGCACGGGUGCGUAACGCGUGGGAACCUGCCCUUAGGUUCGGAAUAACUCCCCGAAAGGGGUGCUAAUACCGGAUAAUGUCUUCGGACCAAAGAUUUAUCGCCUUUGGAUGGGCCCGCGUUGGAUUAGCUAGUUGGUAGGGUAAAAGCCUACCAAGGCGACGAUCCAUAGCUGGUCUGAGAGGAUGAUCAGCCACACUGGGACUGAGACACGGCACAGACUCCUACGGGAGGCAGCAGAGGGGGAUAAUGGACAAUGGGCGAAAGCCUGAUCCAGCAAUGCCGCGUGAGUGAUGAAGGCCUUAGGGUUGUAAAGCUCUUUUACCCGGGAUGAUAAUGACAGUACCGGGAGAAUAAGCGCCGGCUAACUCCGUG
rnacentral:rRNA from 1 species